rnacentral:rRNA from 1 species
AGUUAGCGGCGGACGGGUGAGUAACACGUAGGCAACCUGCCCUCAAGACUGGGAUAACUACCGGAAACGGUAGCUAAUACCGGAUAAUUUAUUACAUAGCAUUAUGUGAUAAUGAAAGACGGAGCAAUCUGUCACUUGGGGAUGGGCCUGCGGCGCAUUAGCUAGUUGGUGGGGUAACGGCCCACCAAGGCGACGAUGCGUAGCCGACCUGAGAGGGUGAACGGCCACACUGGGACUGAGACACGGCCCAGACUCCUACGGGAGGCAGCAGUAGGGAAUCUUCCGCAAUGGGCGAAAGCCUGACGGAGCAACGCCGCGUGAGUGAUGAAGGUUUUCGGAUCGUAAAGCUCUGUUGCCAAGGAAGAACGUCUCAUAGAGUAA